AAACUUUCAACAAUGGAUCUCUUGGUUCCGGCAUCGAUGAAGAACGCAGCGAAAUGCGAUAACUAGUGUGAAUUGCAGAAUUCCGUGAAUCAUCGAGUCUUUGAACGCACAUUGCGCCCCCUGGUUAUUCCGGGGGGCAUGCCUGUCCGAGCGUCAUU
rnacentral:rRNA from 1 species